AAGAUAAAGUCUGGCUCAUGCCAGUCAUUCUGUUUGCCAUUUUUAGUUUUGUUUUUUUUUUUAUAUUUAUUUAUUUAUUUAUUUAUUUUUAAGAUUUAUUUAUUAUUGCCUACAUGCAUACCUGCAGGCCUGAAGAGGACACCAGAUCUCAUUACAGAUGGUUGUGAGCCACCAUGUGGUUGCUGGGAAUUGAACUCAGGACCUCUAGAAGAGCAGUCGGCGCUCUUAGCCUCUGAGCCAUCUCUCCAGCUCCCUGUUUGCCAUUUUUAAAUUAGAAGUUUAAUAGUUAAAAAGUGAAUAUUUUUUUCAACUUCCUUUCCAAAUUUGUACUUUUGAAUAAUUAGUCUGAUGAAGGUAAUAUUACUGUUUUCUAAAUAGACAUAUACUUAUACAGUGGGAUAUGGUAUGCUAUUUUAAUACGUGUAUGCCUCAUGUAAUAAUCACACAGGAUAAUUAGCAUAUGUAGUACCUUAGACAUCUACAUUUCUUUGAAAUCACAAUGAAAAUCCUCUCUUAUAGCCAUUUUCUUUUUUUUUUUAAGAUUUAUUUAUUUAUUUUGUAUAUAAGUACACUGUAGCUGUCUUCAGACACACCAGAAGAGGGCAUCAGUUCCCAUUACAGAUGGUUGUGAGCCACCAUGUGGUUGCUGGGAUUUGAACUCAGGACCUCUGGAAGAGCAGUCAAAUGCUUUUAAGUGCUGAGCCACCCCUCCAGCCCUCUUGAAGCCAUUUU
rnacentral:lncRNA from 1 species